CCCUUAGAUGUCCUGGGCCGCACGCGCGCUACACUGAUGCAUGCAACGAGUUUAUAACCUUGGCCUGAAAGGUCUGGGUAAUCUUUUGAACGUGCAUCGUGAUAGGGAUAGAUUAUUGCAAUUGUUAAUCUUGAACGAGGAAUUCCUAGUAAACGCGAGUCAUCAGCUCGCAUUGAUUACGUCCCUGCCCUUUGUACACACCGCCCGUCGCUCCUACCGAUUGAAUGUGUUGGUGAGGAGCUCGGAUUGGCAGCAGUUGGUGGUUCGCCACCGGCUAUUGCUGAGAAGUCCUCCAAACCGCCCCAUUUAGAGGAAGGAGAAGUCGUAACA
rnacentral:rRNA from 1 species